UAGAAUAAGGUCUAAGACGAUUUGAGU
rnacentral:sRNA from 1 species